AUACGGAGGAUCCGAGCGUUAUCCGGAUUUAUUGGGUUUAAAGGGUGCGCAGGCGGGAGAUUAAGUCGGCGGUGAAAUUUUGCAGCUCAACUGUAAAAGUGCCUUCGAUACUGGUUUCCUUGAGUGUGGAUGAAGUAGGCGGAAUUUGUGGUGUAGCGGUGAAAUGCUUAGAUAUCACGAGGAACUCCGAUUGCGCAGGCAGCUUACUAAACCACUACUGACGCUCAGGCACGAAGGCGUGGGGAUCAAACAGGAUUAGAUACCCUGGUAGUCCACGCAGUAAACGAUGAUUACUGGCUGUUUGCGAUACAAUGUAAGCGGCUGAGCGAAAGCGUUAAGUAAUCCACCUGGGGAGUACGUUCGCAAGAAUGAAACUCAAAUGAAUUGGCGGGG
rnacentral:rRNA from 1 species